GCGCCCUGACCUCAUUUGGGAAAUAAGGGAAUGUCAAAUACUGAUUUCUAAAAAAUCCACUCUGAAGCCGUGGAUCAUCUGCUUCGUGUCAAUCACACUUCUAGGCACUGGGCAUAGAGCGCUUUUGGAUUUCUUCAUUCUUUGAUUCAUUCGACUUUGUCACGACCGUCUCGGAUCGGGUGGACUCCGACUGGGUCCUUUCCUUGCCCAGUGCCGACGGUGCCAAUUGAACGAGACCAGUUUUCCCAGGAGUGUGGUUUGGAUGGAUGGAUCAUUCCAGAGAUAUCCUCUGAAGUCUUAUGAAAGAUUUCCCACAAAGGCUUAUUGAAGACUCUGAUAUAAUGAGGAGACUGAAGCUGGAAAAGGUUAAGAAACUUGUGCAAGAUCACCAGCAAUAAGCAUCCGACCAGGACUCAGACCCAUGUAGCCAGACUCCAGAGUCCUGUACUACUGUACUGUGCAGCCUGGCUUAUAGGAUCUUAGUUCCCCGACUGGGGAUCGAACCCAGGCUCCCAGCAUUGGAAGCGAGAUUCUCAACCACUGGACCACCAGUCAAUCCCCUGUUGAUCUUAAAAAGUAUGAGAAAUUGUUUUCAAAAGCAGAGACGUGGGCUUCCCUCGUGGUGCAGUGGUUGAGAGUCCGCCUGCAGAUGCAGCGGACACGGAUUCGUGCCCCGGUCCGCGAAGAUCCCACGUGCC